UGUUACGGGGUCCCAGACCGUAACGGCAUGUUGCCCAAGUCCCGCCCCCGCGGGCACUCUGCUCAAGCCCCGCCCCUGCGGGCAUCUGAAGUCCCGUCCCCGCGGGCAUCCGAGCACCGACCGAUGUGGGACCCCAAGGCGUAUUGCAGGUGACUUCCGAGCUGCCCAACAUGCCAAGGAGUCCUUAUUUUAGGUGUUAGGACCUUUUCCAUGUAUAUAUAGUUAGUUGUAAGCCUCGGCCUUGCACGGCCGUUUUUGGAGCAACUUGCGCUUUUCAGCGUCUGUUGGUGUAACUAGGGUUUUGGCCCAGAAUCCCUCUAUAGGGGGAAAGGGUUGUAGAAAGACUUGUUGCUAGAAUUGCCUGGAGCGUCCCCCUCUCCAAUCAAUUCAUUGUAAGGUGUUGCCUACUUGUACACAUUGUUGCUAUUAAUGAAAAUGGUGUUCCUACCAAUUGUGUACGUCUCUGCGGGACCACUAAAGCACCUUCCGGUGUGAGUGCGUCGUCUCUGCACCAGCUUUCGAGUGAGCUCGAUUGUGAGGCGGAAGUAGUCGCUGGAGCCGACUGCUAGCCGCACGGUGCGCUAAUCUACGCUAACGCUACAAGCGCCCCGUGACAGGUGGUAUCAGAGCCUCGGCUCCUGAUCCAUCGGACCGAGGCAGUGCUAUGGAAGAUUCAGCACACGGCGGGGAGGGUGGGGGAGAGACCCACAAAACCCCAAGCCACAAACGGAGGAUCCAAGCGCUUGAGGAAGAGAGCACUCAAGCAAGAAAGGAUUUCUUGGCCUUGGAGGAGAAGGUCGAGACGCUCGAGGGAUUAAUCCAAGGGCAACAACAGAGAAUAGGGGCCUUGGAGAUGGCUAACGCCGGCCUCCAAGAUACUGUUGAGGAGAGCCGCCAAGCGUGGCGGAAAAUGGCUGAGGCAGGACCAGCGGGCGAUGCUAACGGCACCGAAGUGAGAGAACUUCGCAGAAUUGUCGAUGGACUACGGGCCGAGGUCGUAGUCCUUCACCGUGCCAGUGACCACAGUCGAGACAUCGAAGACCUACAGAAUGCGGUGGCAACCAUCAACCGCGCACUAGCCAAUACUGGGCCCAGACCGACCGGGGGUGGACUAGGGAACGGCCCUCGGAAGAAGAUUCCCGACCCCAUCCCCUACGACGGAGUUCGAGAUGCCAAGGUCAUCGGCAAUUUCCUCUUCGACAUGGAACAAUACUUCUCAGCAGCAAACAUUGUCGACGAGCGUGAGAAAGUAUCUACGGCUUCCAUGUACUUGACGGGAAAUGCUAAGCUAUGGUGGCGGGGAGUGUUUGAGGACAUUCGAGCCAGGCGAAUUCAAGUUGACACCUGGGAAGGACUGAAGCAAACCCUCAAGGACCACUUCUACCCGACUAACGUGGCCCUAAAUGCCCACAUGAUACUACGAGAUCUGAAGCAGACUGGGCCCAUAAGCGAGUACGUUAAGGCCUUCUCCGAUGUCAUACUAGACCUUCGUGAGAUGGAUGAAGCCACGAAGGUCCACCAGUUCAUGGUGGGACUUAAGCCGUGGGCAAUGACCAGAGCUACAACGGCAGAACCCGACAACGAUAUCCGCCGCAAUAGCCGCAGCAGAGCGCUUGAAUGACUAUCAAGCCGAAUCUCGGAGGAAGACCACCACGCCAAGUAGUGGCCAACAAAGGGGGAGUAGCAACAAAUCUUUCAAACCUAACUUCACGCGAAGUGGGGGAGAAAAACCUGCUUACUCCCAGGGAAGUUCACAAGGCAGCUCCGGGCGGGUAAGUUCCAAACUGAUAACAAGGGCAAUGCCCCACCGAAGACAGGAGGGUGUUUCAUUUGCGACGGCCCACAUCGCAUGAAGGAUUGCCCAAAGAAACAGUUGUUGAAUGCCAUGGAACAGUGCUACGGACUGGGACCGCCUCCCAAGAAGAAGGGAAAGGAGCCCCAAGUGACCGAACCAGAAAGCGGCAGCGAGGAGGGCUCUGAAAGUGAGGAUGAAGAGGAGAACCUUGGUGCCUUCUCGCACCGAUGCAACGCCAUGGCUAGAGUCGCAGCGUCAAAGAGAAGCCAACAGAAGAACAAAGGGCUGAGGACUGCCCCAGCGUUGUCGAACCCUACCGGAGAAGGGGAAACGGCGAAAUUAACCAGAAGCAAAGGGUUGAUGUUCGUCGAUGUUAAGAUCAACGGGAAGCUCAUCAAAGCCAUGGUAGACACAGGAGCGACCCAUAACUACCUUGCCAGCUCCGAAGUCGAGAAACUCGGGUUGGUACUAGAGAAGGGAGUGGGACGAGUGAAAGCAAUCAACUCCGAGGCACAGCCGAUCGCAGGAGUUGCAAAGUCGGUGCACAUUAGGGUCGGACCGUACGAAGGAAGGACCAGCCUAUCCGUGGUGACGAUGGACGACUUCAAGCUUAUCCUGGGGCUGGAUUUCCUGAGAGAUACGAAGACAGCAGUGCUGCCUUACGCGGAUGCCCUGAUGAUGAUGGGAGAUAAACCGUGCGUCACGCAGACUGUAUCACCGAAAGUAAGCUCCAAACCGCUGUCUGCCAUGCAGUUCGUUAAGGGAGGUAGGAAGAACGACGCGUCGUUCCUAUGCUACCUCCGCUUCGAAGAGAUUGAAGAGAAGUCGGGGCCGAUCCCCAAUGCGGCGAAGAACCUCCUCCGCGAGUUUGAGGACGUGAUGCCAGCCGAACUACCUAAGAAACUGCCACCGAAGAGGGCAGUCGACCACGAAAUCGAGUUGGUACCGGGCACAAAGCCUCCCGCCCGGGCCCCAUAUCGAAUGUCAUAUCCUGAGCUAGAGGAGCUUAGGAAACAAAUUGAAGGAGCUGUUGGUUACGGACUCCUUCGGCCGGCCAAGUCACCAUAUGGAGCACCGGUGCUAUNGCUGGAGCCGACUGCUAGCCGCACGGUACGCUAAUCUACGCUAAUGCUACAAGUGCCUCGUGACAGGAGGUAUCACAGCCUCGGCGACGGGGAUGGUGGGGGAGAGACCCACAAAACCCCAAGCCACAAACGGAGGAUCCAAGUGCUUGAGAAUGAGAGCUCUCAAGCAAGACAUGAUUUCUCGGCCUUAGAGGAGAAGGUCGAGACGCUCGAGGGAUUAAUCCAAG
rnacentral:lncRNA from 1 species